CAGCCGCCGCGGUAAAACCAGCACCCCAAGUGGUCAGGAUGAUUAUUGGGCCUAAAGCAUCCGUAGCCGGCUCUGUAAGUUUUCGGUUAAAUCUGUACGCUCAACGUACAGGCUGCCGGGAAUACUGCAGAGCUAGGGGGUGGGAGAGGUAGACGGUACUCGGUAGGAAGUGGUAAAAUGCUUUGAUCUAUCGAUGACCACCUGUGGCAAAGGCGGUCUACCAGAACACGUCCGACGGUGAGGGAUGAAAGCUGGGGGAGCAAACCGGAUUAGAUACCCGGGUAGUCCCAGCUGUAAACUAUGCAAACUCAGUGAUGCAUUGGCUUGUGGCCAAUGCAGUGCUGCAGGGAAGCCGUUAAGUUUGCCGCCUGGGAAGUACGUACGCAAGUAUGAAACUUAAAGGAAUUGGCGGGGGAGCAC
rnacentral:rRNA from 2 species